GAGGAUAUAGCUCAGAGGUAGAGUGCAUGCUUAGCAUGCAAGAGGUCUUGGGUUCAAUCCCCAGCACCUGUA
rnacentral:tRNA from 1 species